AGUCAUUACAAAAAAUGAUAAAUACUGUAGAAUAAUGUUCUUACUAUUUGCAGAUAAAUAUAAUAAGAAUGUAAAAGGUUUCCAUAAGAGACCAAGUGUGUUUUGGUGUAUGCUUAUU